rfam:Ktedonobacter racemifer DSM 44963 strain SOSP1-21 Krac_Contig206, whole genome shotgun sequence.
GAGAGCCGGAUGCUACGGAAACGGGCAUGUCCGGUUCGGUGGGGGGCCGAGGGAAAAGGGCUGCCACAAGGCAAUACCUCGCCCGCGGCCUACCCAAC